UUUUCAACAUCUCUACUCUUUAUUUAUCAUCUCUUGCAUCCCUAUAAAAUUGACUCCAAAACAUCAAAAUAUUACCUGGAAAUCACAAAUUUAUUUUAAUAACAAAGAAAUAAUGAAUUCCAUCUCUUCUCUUUGCUGUCUUCUUUCUCUCCGCUUCUGCUAUCCGAGUGAAUUAUGCAGAAGUAGAGACGUGCAGCGAUUGCCACAAUUUGAUUGUGCAGAAGAAAUAAAGCUAACUUGCCGAUUGGGCACGCUGCUGCGGGAUCGCUCAAGAAGCUGCCCUUCUGCAAAUUCAACGCAUCUCUCAAUAUUGACUAGGCUCAAUUAUUUUUUAGUAAUUUUAAUUUUUCUUAUGUUUUCAUAUUCUUUUUUUUUGGAUACUCAAAUGUUUUAUAUUUCAGUAUAAUAUUUAUAUAAUAUUUAAUUUUUCAGUCGACAAAGAAAAAGAUCUUACUUAAAUUAAAAUGUAUAUCUAUCACUAAUUUAAGUCUAAAAGUGCUUAAAUUUUCUAUUUCAAUUUAACUGCAUCAUAUAAUUAAUUAUUUUUUUUAUUUUUAAUUUAAUUUGAAAAAAAGAAAAAAAGUUUAAAAUUUUGACUUAAUUAGAGUAUUUUGCUCGAGACGGUGUUAUAUUAAAUAUUUUUAUAAAUUCAAACUUGACUUAAUAGCUAGUAGAACCAUCAAGUAUUGAAAUUUCUAUUUUAAAGUUAAUUAUAAAAAAAUUACUAUAUUAUUUAUUUUAGAUUUAUGUGAUGUUAUUAUUUCAGAUUUACAUUCAAUUUCAAAUUAAACAAUUAUGCGAGUAAUUAACUAAAACAUGCCUUGUAUCAUCGGAAAGCAAUAUAAAAAAAUAUUAUCAUAAAAAGAAAGAAAAAAAAAAUAAAAAAUGAAGGGUGAUUGUGCUGUAGAUUAUUGCCAAUUUGGUUGUUGCGAAUGGCACGCUGCUGCGGGGUCGCUGAAGAAGAUGCCCUCUUUCAAUAUGAUCCUUGCCAUUAUGGUUGUUGCGAAUGGCAACGACAAGGUACGGUUUGUUCACGGUGUUAUGUGGCCGCACAAGAAGAUGCCCUAUUGCAAAAUAAACAUAUCUAUGAAGAUGGUGGAGAUAAACAAGCAUGGUGGUAGAAAGUUAAAAGAAAAGAAAAGUGAAGCCAGGCCCUAAAAUCAGAUGAAACGCAUCUGUGGAGUAGAUGCAUUAUGUGUAUGUAGUAUAAUGUAAAUAUAUGUGUAUAACAAGAUGAGGAACAAUAGAAGACAAUAGUCCUUGCAGCUUUCACACUUCCUCUGUACUUCCUUUUUGUGGUUCUAAUAUAUAAAAAGAAAAGGAAAAGAAAAGUUGCUAGUUA